rnacentral:tRNA from 1 species
GCCGAAGUGGCGGAAUGGCAGACGCGGCGGUCUCAAAAACCGUUGGGGGAAACCUCGUGCGGGUUCGACUCCCGCCUUCGGCACCA